GCCCGCGUAGCUCAGUGGAUAGAGCGUCUGCCUCCGGAGCAGAAGGUCGCAGGUUCGAAUCCUGCCGCGGGCACCA
rnacentral:tRNA from 1 species